UACGGAGGGUGCAACGUUGCUCGGAAUCAUUGGGCGUAAAGCGCACGUAGGCGGACUGCUAAGUCGGACGUGAAAGCCCUCGGCUUAACCGAGGAAGUGCAUUCGAAACUGGCAGUCUUGAGUACGGGAGAGGGUCGCGGAAUUCCCGGUGUAGAGGUGAAAUUCGUAGAUAUCGGGAGGAACACCAGUGGCGAAGGCGGCGGCCUGGACCGAUACUGA
rnacentral:rRNA from 1 species